UACAGAGGUCUCAAGCGUUGUUCGGAUUCAUUGGGCGUAAAGGGUGCGUAGGUGGCGCGGUAAGUCGGGUGUGAAAUCUCGGAGCUUAACUCCGAAAUUGCAUUCGAUACUGCCGUGCUUGAGGACUGGAGAGGAGACUGGAAUUCAUGGUGUAGCAGUGAAAUGCGUAGAGAUCAUGAGGAAGACCAGUGGCGAAGGCAGCUCGCUGGGACGGUACUGACGCUAAGGCGCGAAAGCGUGGGGAGCAAACAGG
rnacentral:rRNA from 1 species